CCUACGGGAUGCAGCAGUGGGGAAUUUUGGACAAUGGGCGCAAGCCUGAUCCAGCUAUUCCGCGUGUGGGAUGAAGGCCCUCGGGUUGUAAACCACUUUUGUAGAGAACGAAAAGACACCUUCGAAUAAAGGGUGUUGCUGACGGUACUCUAAGAAUAAGCACCGGCUAACUACGUGCCAGCAGCCGCGGUAAUACGUAGGGUGCGAGCGUUAAUCGGAAUUACUGGGCGUAAAGGGUGCGCAGGCGGUUGAGUAAGACAGAUGUGAAAUCCCCGAGCUUAACUCGGGAAUGGCAUAUGUGACUGCUCGACUAGAGUGUGUCAGAGGGAGGUGGAAUUCCACGUGUAGCAGUGAAAUGCGUAGAUAUGUGGAAGAACACCGAUGGCGAAGGCAGCCUCCUGGGACAUAACUGACGCUCAGGCACGAAAGCGUGGGGAGCAAACAGGAUUAGAUACCCCGGUAGUC
rnacentral:rRNA from 1 species